AAAACAUCGCCUCCUGCAACAUAACCAAGUAUAGGAGGUCCAGCCUGCCCAGUGACCGCAAGUUUAACGGCCGCGGUAUUUUGACCGUGCAAAGGUAGCGCAAUCACUUGUCUUUUAAAUAAAGACCUGUAUGAAUGGCUAAACGAGGGCUUAACUGUCUCCCCUUUCAAGUCAGUGAAAUUGAUUUAUCCGUGCAGAAGCGGGUAUAAUAAUACAAGACGAGAAGACCCUUUGGAGCUUAAGGCAUAAACUCAAUCACGUCAAGCAACUCAAUAAAAAGUAAUUUUUAAACCUUGUGUUAAAUGAGACCAUUGCCUUCGGUUGGGGCGACCACGGAGGAAAAGAAAGCCUCCAAGUGGAAAGGGGCAAUACCCUAAAACCAAGAGAGACAUCUCUAAGCCACAAAACAUUUGACCAUAAAUGAUCCGGCUAACCAUGACCGAUCAACGAACCAAGUUACCCUAGGGAUAACAGCGCAAUCCUCUCCUAAAGUCCAUAUCGACGAGAGGGUUUACGACCUCGAUGUUGGAUCAGGACAUCCUAAUGGUGCAGCCGCUAUUAAGGGUUCGUUUGUUCAACGAUUAAAGUCCUACGUGA
rnacentral:rRNA from 1 species